UACGUAGGGUGCAAGCGUUGUCCGGAAUUAUUGGGCGUAAAGAGCUCGUAGGCGGUUUGUCGCGUCGAAUGUGAAAACCCGGGGCUCAACCCCGGGCCUGCAUUCGAUACGGGCAGACUAGAGUUCGGUAGGGGAGUCUGGAAUUCCUGGUGUAGCGGUGAAAUGCGCAGAUAUCAGGAGGAACACCGACGGCGAAGGCAGCACUCUGGGCCGGUACUGACGCUGAGGAGCGAAAGCAUGGGGAGCGAACAGG
rnacentral:rRNA from 1 species